rnacentral:rRNA from 1 species
CCUACGGGAGGCAGCAGUGAGGAAUAUUGGUCAAUGGGCGCGAGCCUGAACCAGCCAAGUCGCGUGAGGGAUGACGGCCCUACGGGUUGUAAACCUCUUUUGCCGGGGAGCAACGGGCGCCACGUGUGGCGCCACUGAGAGUACCCGGAGAAAAAGCAUCGGCUAACUCCGUGCAAGCAGCCGCGGUAAUACGGAGGAUGCGAGCGUUCUCCGGAUUUAUUGGGUUUAAAGGGUGCGUAGGCGGAUCGUUAAGUCAGUGGUCAAAUUGAGGGGUUCAACCCCUUCCCGCCAUUGAAACUGGCGCUCUUGAGUGGAAGAGAAGUAUGCGGAAUGCGUGGUGUAGCGGUGAAAGGCAUAGAUAUCACGCAGAACCCCGAUUGCGAAGGCAGCAUGCCGGCUUCCGACUGACGCUGAAGCACGAAAGCGUGGGGAUCGAACAGGAUUAGAUACCCGAGUAGUC